AGAAGAAUAAGAGGGAGGGGACAUUGAUUUGUACGUUCAGGGGGCUGAACAGCUCUCCUGCUGAUCUCUGAAUCUAAGAAUGAGCACCUUGUCAAGCAACCUGUCCAUGUUGAGAUCUGCCUAAUUUGGCGAACUUCUACCUAAUAAGACAAAUUUGCACCUUUCAUGUUUGAUUGGGCCUUUAUCCACCUUUUAUGUCAACAACAAAAGACGAAAAACUGCAGCAGUUGCCAAAAUGAACUGCAAGGAACUGGAGCGUGGAGCCCGCCACCUCUGAACGAAUGGCAGUUAAUGCAACCUGACAGCCUGGACUGGGUUUAGGCCCACCCAGGUACAUCUGGGGCUUGUAGGAACAGCUUGGAAGAGAGGAAACAGCACUCCAGGGAACCCACAGAACAUAAGAGCAAAAAUGGAGUGAGAGGAGGGGAAAAGAAGAAGAGUGAGAGAGAAAGAGAGAGAUGAAGAGUGAAAGAGAGAGAUGUUGGAGAUUUGGCUAAAGAGAGAAAAGGAGUGGGACUGUCAAAGAAAGAAGUACAAGGGAGGAGAUUGUGUCUGGAGUUAACGUUUCCUUAUCUUGACAGGAGCUGUCCGCCUCUAUGGUGCUGAAACAAGGCACAUGGUCAGUGGGGCCAUUCAAAAUCCCAUUUGCGGCACUGAUGGGAAAAACUGAAAUAAACUGAGGGAUCUCUACUAAAGGAUAAGUUGAGUUGAAGUCAUGUGGUCUCAGCGGAUCCAUACAGCAGCUAUUUGUACUUAUUGAUGCUAACCACAUAUAUCUAUUUCUGCUUGGGUUACACUCACGUGCAAUCAAACACUAUCAUAUUUCAGAGCAUACUUUUUUUGGCUCAACUAUAUGAAAUGAAAAGUCAUCUAGACUUACAUGUAUUUUUUAGCAUUAUAAAAUUUUUAUUCUAACAAUGCUUUAACAUUACUGCAGCGAUGUUUUACCGCUUUAGCGAAAUUAGCAUUUUAGCAAUGCUUUAGCAGUUUUACUAUGCUUUUAAAUACUUGCUCAGCCAAUACAGUGAAUAGAUGACAUCA